UAAGGAAUAUUGGACAAUGGAGGCAACUCUGAUCCAGCCAUGCCGCGUGAAGGAAUAAGGCCCUAUGGGUUGUAAACUUCUUUUAGACGGGACAAAACCCCUUUACGUGUAAAGGGUUGAUGGUACUGUCAGAAUAAGCAUCGGCUAACUUCGUGCCAGCAGCCGCGGUAAUACGAAGGAUGCAAGCGUUAUCCGGAAUUAUUGGGUUUAAAGGGUGCGUAGGCGGACUAAUAAGUCAGUGGUGAAAGCCUGCAGCUUAACUGCAGAAUUGCCAUUGAUACUGUUAGUCUUGAGUACAGUUGAGGUAGGCGGAAUGUGUCAUGUAGCGGUGAAAUGCUUAGAUAUGACACAGAACACCGAUUGCGAAGGCAGCUUGCUAAGCUGUAACUGACGCUGAGGCACGAAAGCGUGGGGA
rnacentral:rRNA from 1 species